GGAAUCUUCCACAAUGGGCGCAAGCCUGAUGGAGCAACACCGCGUGAGUGAAGAAGGGUUUCGGCUCGUAAAGCUCUGUUGUUGGAGAAGAACGUGUGUGAGAGUAACUGCUCAUGCAGUGACGGUAUCCAACCAGAAAGCCACGGCUAACUACGUGCCAGCAGCCGCGGUAAUACGUAGGUGGCAAGCGUUAUCCGGAUUUAUUGGGCGUAAAGCGAGCGCAGGCGGUCUUUUAAGUCUAAUGUGAAAGCCUUCGGCUUAACCGAAGAAGUGCAUUGGAAACUGGAAGACUUGAGUGCAGAAGAGGACAGUGGAACUCCAUGUGUAGCGGUGAAAUGCGUAGAUAUAUGGAAGAACACCAGUGGCGAAGGCGGCUGUCUGGUCUGUAACUGACGCUGAGGCUCGAAAGCAUGGGUAGCGAACA
rnacentral:rRNA from 1 species